AUUGAACGCUGGCGGCAUGCUUUACACAUGCAAGUCGAACGGCAGCGCGGGGCAACCUGGCGGCGAGUGGCGAACGGGUGAGUAAUAUAUCGGAACGUACCCAAGAGUGGGGGAUAACGUAGCGAAAGUUACGCUAAUACCGCAUACGAUCUAUGGAUGAAAGCAGGGGACCGCAAGGCCUUGUGCUCCUGGAGCGGCCGAUAUCUGAUUAGCUAGUUGGUAGGGUAAAGGCCUACCAAGGCUACGAUCAGUAGCUGGUCUGAGAGGACGACCAGCCACACUGGAACUGAGACACGGUCCAGACUCCUACGGGAGGCAGCAGUGGGGAAUUUUGGACAAUGGGCGCAAGCCUGAUCCAGCAAUGCCGCGUGAGUGAAGAAGGCCU
rnacentral:rRNA from 1 species